rnacentral:rRNA from 1 species
ACACGACUCUCGGCAAUGGAUAUCUCGGCUCUCGCAUCGAUGAAGAGCGCAGCGAAAUGCGAUACGUGGUGCGAAUUGCAGAAUCCCGCGAACCAUCGAGUCUUUGAACGCAAGUUGCGCCCGAGGCCAACCGGCCAAGGGCACGUCCGCCUGGGCGUCAAAC